rnacentral:rRNA from 1 species
CGCACCUACGGGAGGCAGCAGUGAGGAAUAUUGGUCAAUGGCCGAGAGGCUGAACCAGCCAAGUCGCGUGAGGGAUGACGGCCCUACGGGUUGUAAACCUCUUUUGUAGGGGAGCAAGACCCGCCUCGUGCAGGCGGAGCGAGAGUACCCGCAGAAAAAGCAUCGGCUAACUCCGUGCCAGCAGCCGCGGUAAUACGGAGGAUGCGAGCGUUAUCCGGAUUUAUUGGGUUUAAAGGGUGCGCAGGCGGACCAUCAAGUCAGCGGUAAAAUCGCGUUG